AGCUGCAGUCGAGGAUCUUUCGCAUGGGCGCAGCCUGACGAAGCGACGCUGCGUGAGCGAUGAAGGCCUUCGGGUCGUAAAGCUCUUUCGCGCAAGAACAGGAAGGGGUGUGAAUAGCACUCCGACUUGAGGGUACUGGGAAAAGAAGCACCGGCUAACUC
rnacentral:rRNA from 1 species